rnacentral:rRNA from 1 species
GAUCCUGGCUAAGGAUGAACGCUGGCGGCGUGCCUAACACAUGCAAGUCGAACGAAGCACCUUUUGUAGAUUCUUCGGAUGAUCGAUCGGUGACUGAGUGGCGGACGGGUGAGUAACGCGUGGGUAACCUGCCCUGUACAGGGGGAUAACAGCUGGAAACGGCUGCUAAUACCGCAUAAGCGCACGAGGAGACAUCUCCUAGUGUGAAAAACUCCGGUGGUACAGGAUGGGCCCGCGU